GGACAGGUGGGUGCUAGAAACUGAGUGUGGAUCUUUGCAAGAGCAGCAAGUGCUCUUAACUGCUUAGUUAUCUCACCAGCCCCUUUCAUUGUGAGCUUGAAGUUGAAAUUACUCAAAAGAAGAACCACACCUUUAAUUCUAACACUUAGGAGGCAGAGGCAGGCAUUGGAUUGCUGAGGUUAAGGCCAGUCUGGUCUACAGAAUGAGUUCCAGAACAGCCAGGGCUACACGGAGAAACCCUGUCUCAAAAACUUAAAAAAAGUGUAGUAUAUGUUUCAGUGUGUCUGUGUCCGCAGGAAUGUGGUAUGUGCAAACUGGCUGGCCAGGGAGCUUAGGAAUUUGCCUUUCUCUGCCCCUGCCCAGCACUAGGUUACUUUGAUGUAAGUGUUGGGUGUCUGGACUCAGAUCCUUGUGCUUGUAGAGCAAGCACUGACCAAGCCGUCCCCAUAACCCCUGUUCGGCUAUUCCCAAGCACAUUCCCUCUCGUUUGCUUCUGUCAGUCCAUGAAUAAAGGGAAUGGGUGCUCUCAGGGACUUUAGAUGGCUGCCAGAGAAGGGUUUCUGAACUUCAGCCUCUUCCAGGAUGAAGCCUCCUAAACUAUCCAGGUGACUAUGUCUAACUCCAUCUAUGCUCAGCAGGAUCUUCCUCAACUACUCCUUCUGACUUGGCUCUUCUGUUUUGUAAUUGGUAAACAAGGCCCUGACUUUCAUUCCCAGCUUUGCUAAAACUAUUAAAAAAAAAAAAAAAACAAAAA
rnacentral:lncRNA from 1 species